rnacentral:rRNA from 1 species
AGAGUUUGAUCCUGGCUCAGAUUGAACGCUGGCGGCAUGGCUAAAACAUGCAAGUCGAACGCGAACUCUCGAUUUAUCGGGAAAGUAGAGUGGCGUAAGGGCGAGUAACAAAUUUCUAACGUACCCCAGAGUCGGGGAUAGCCCGAGGAAACUCGGAUUAACACCCGAUGAUCCCGUCUGGUCUCGUGACCGGCCGGGCAAAAGCUUGCUGCUCUGGGAGCGGGGAAUUUCCUAUCAGGUUGUUGGUGAGGUAACGGCUCACCAAGCCUAAGACGGGUAGCGGGUGUGAGAGCACGACCCGCCGCAUCGGGACUGAGACACUGCCCGGACUCCUACGGGAGGCUGCAGUAACGAAUAUUCCGCAAUGGGCGAAAGCCUGACGGAGCAAUGCCGCGUGUGGGAUGAAUCUCCUCGGAGUGUAAACCACUGUCAGGGGCUAGAAACACAAUGAUCAGCCCCAGAGGAAGGGCCGGCUAACUUCGUGCCAGCAGCCGCGGUAAUACGAAGGGCCCGAGCGUUAAUCGGAAUCACUGGGCUUAAAGGGUGCGUAGGCGGGACUGUAAGUAUCACGUGAAAUCCCACGGCUCAACCGUGGAAUGGCUUGGUAGACUGCAGUCCUUGAGGUCGGUAGAGGAUGCUGGAACUCUAGGUGGAGCGGUGAAAUGCGUAGAUAUCUAGAGGAACACCAAAGGUGAAGACAGGCAUCUGGGCCGAUCCUGACGCUGAGGCACGAAAGCGUGGGGAGCGAACGGGAUUAGAUACCCCGGUAGUCCACGCCCUAAACGAUGUGCACUAGAUUGUGGAGGCUCUGACGCAGACACGAUCGAAGCUAAAGUGUUAAGUGCACCGCCUGGGGAGUACGGUCGCAAGGCUAAAACUCAAAGGAAUUGACGGGUCUUCACACAAGCGGUGGAGCAUGUGGCUUAAUUCGAGGCAACGCGAAGAACCUUAUCCAGGGUUUGACAUGUAUGGAUUAGUUGCGGGAAACCGUAAUGACGCCCUCGGGUGGAACAUACACAGGUGCUGCAUGGCUGUCGUCAGCUCGUGCUGUGAAGUGUAGGGUUAAGUCCCCUAACGAGCGAAACCCCUACCGCUAGUUGCCAACAGGCCUUCGGGUGCUGGGAACUCUAGCGGGACUGCCGGUGUUAAACCGGAGGAAGGUGGGGAUGACGUCAAGUCCUCAUGGCCUUUAUGCCCUGGGCUGCACACGUGCUACAAUGGCGCGUACAGAGCGAAGCGAUACCGCAAGGUGGAGCAAAUCGCAAAAAGCGCGCCUCAGUUCGGAUUGCGGUCUGCAACUCGACCGCAUGAAGCUGGAAUCGCUAGUAAUCGCGUAUCAGCUACGACGCGGUGAAUAUGUUCCUGAAGAUUGUACACACCGCCCGUCAAGUCAUGGAAGCCGGGAGCACCCGAAGCCGCCAUAUUUCAGUGGUGUCGACGGUGAGCUCGGUGACUGGGACUAAGUCGUAACAAGGUAACC